UUAUCUCAAUAUGUAGUAACCAUUUGUCUUAUUUGUUUCACAGGAUUGGUGUUCCCAGCUUCCAGGCUCGUCCUCUGCGCUUAAAUCAGCUAUUGGAACCUAGAAAAGUUGCUCUUUGCUCGGGCUGAAAUGGUAAAAUUUUUAUUCUUUCCUUUAACUUUUGGUUGGAAUGGAAUCUAGAAAAGUUGCUCUUUGCUCGGGCAGAAAUGGUAAAUAAUUUAUUCUUUUCAUUAACUUUUGGUUGGAAUAAGUCACCUACCUUCAUAUUUCAGCUAAUUUUCCUCCAGUUUUAUGAUUUAGAGACCAAAGCAGAUCCCCUAUAGUUUCAUAGUAUGUGUCCGGCUCAUGAGAGGCGGAUCCAAGAUUCAUGAAAUUUAAUAUAAAUUUAUAACUGCUUAUAAAGAUUGAUAUGGGGGCUAGGCUAAUAUUUGACUAUUUGUUGAAGACAUUUUGCCGGCGUGCGUCCGCCUCUGCUGCUCAUAGCAAAUUGUGAUAUCUAUU
rnacentral:lncRNA from 1 species